rnacentral:rRNA from 1 species
CCUACGGGAGGCAGCAGUAGGGAAUAUUGCGCAAUGGGGGAAACCCUGACGCAGCAACGCCGCGUGGAGGAUGAAGGUUUUCGGAUUGUAAACUCCUGUUGUUAGAGAAGAUAAUGACGGUAUCUAACGAAUAAGCACCGGCUAACUCCGUGCCAGCAGCCGCGGUAAUACGGAGGGUGCAAGCGUGCCUCGGAAUCACUGGGCGUAAAGAGCGCGUAGGCGGGAAAGCAAGUCAGAUGUGAAAUCCUAUGGCUUAACCAUAGGACUGCAUUUGAAACUGUUAAUCUAGAGUAUGGGAGAGGAAGGUGGAAUUCUAGGUGUAGCGGUAAAAUGCGUAGAUAUAUGGAGGAAUACUCGUUGCGAAGGCGACCUGCUAGAACAUAACUGACGCUGAUGCGCGAAAGCGUGGGGAGCAAACAGGAUUAGAUACCCGGGUAGUC